rnacentral:lncRNA from 1 species
GCGCUUGCCGCUCGCGGGGCUGGCGGGCGGCCGCGAGGCCUCCGCCACCGCAGGACGCUUCGCGAGGGACAGUUGGGGCCGAGAAGGCGCGGGUCCUGCGGGGCCCGGCCGACUUCAGGGACUCCGAGGGGCGCCCGCCAGCCGGAGCCCGCGAACCGCAGACUUCCCGCCUUCCGCAGCCCGGAAGGGAGCUGUCCGCACUCGCCGCGGCCCGCGUGGGAAGGGACCGCGCCUGGCUAUCGCCCCGCGCGGGGGAGGGGAAGUGGAGUGGAACCCAGCGUAGGGCGCUGCUCAGGGGUAGCCGGGUCAACGCUUUGCUUGGAGCUCACUAUUUGACCCUUCGGGUUAUUUUGAGGGACUCCAGUACUCAGUUCCCUGAUCGCGAUUUCUUUCUCUGCGCCCCAAUCCAGAAACAGCUGAGCGAGCUCUUUUGCAGUUCCGCUUACUCCCUCCCCAAAGCUUGCUGGGCUAGAGGACCCUUUUCCUGCUGUUAGGGGAGAUUUAUAUUCAAAGAGAUUCAAAUUCAAACGUAUUAUUUUCCAAUCCUCGCUGAAAGGGCCUUUCCCAAGGGCUCUUAUUAACUGUCCCCACCCCCACCUUGGGGAUUUUUCUCGCUCUGGGUUUCAGAAUCUUCUAUCCCAAGAUAGAUAACCACCUCUUCAUUGAUUAAUCCAACUACCAUCUGGAUGACUUUAAUUACAAUAAAUUUAAACUCACCAUGCACUCUGAUGUUGAGGGGUUUUGUUUGAGACUUGGAACUUCAGCAGGACUCUCUCCCCAAACAUUUCCUAUCUGAUCUCCAAGCUGCUUGGUGUGC